GAUGAACGCUGGCGGCGUGCCUAAUACAUGCAAGUCGAGCGAACGGACGAGAAGCUUGCUUCUCUGAUGUUAGCGGCGGACGGGUGAGUAACACGUGGAUAACCUACCUAUAAGACUGGGAUAACUUCGGGAAACCGGAGCUAAUACCGGAUAAUAUUUUGAACCGCAUGGUUCAACAGUGAAAGACGGUCUUGCUGUUACUUAUAGAUGGAUCCGCGCUGCAUUAGCUAGUUGGUAAGGUAACGGCUUACCAAGGCAACGAUGCAUAGCCGACCUGAGAGGGUGAUCGGCCACACUGGAACUGAGACACGGUCCAGACUCCUACGGGAGGCAGCAGUAGGGAAUCUUCCGCAAUGGGCGAAAGCCUGACGGAGCAACGCCGCGUGAGUGAUGAAGGUCUUCGGAUCGUAAAACUCUGUUAUUAGGGAAGAACAUAUGUGUAAGUAGCUGUGCACAUCGUGACGGUACCUAAUCAGAAAGCCACGGCUAACUACGUG
rnacentral:rRNA from 1 species